rnacentral:rRNA from 1 species
AACGGAUUAUUCUUGUAGCUUGCUAUGAGAAUAAUUAGUGGCAGACGGGUGAGUAAUGCAUAGGAAUCUACCUAGUAGUAUAGGAUAGCCACUAGAAAUGGUGGGUAAUACUGUAUAAUCCCUGCGGGGGAAAGAUUUAUCGCUACAUGAUGAGCCUAUGUUAGAUUAGCUAGUUGGUGGGGUAAUGGCCUACCAAGGCAGUGAUCUAUAGCUGGUCUGAGAGGAUGAUCAGCCACACUGGAACUGAGACACGGUCCAGACUCCUACGGGAGGCAGCAGUGGGGAAUAUUGGACAAUGGGCGCAAGCCUGAUCCAGCUAUGCCGCGUGAGUGAGGAAGGCCUUAGGGUUGUAAAACUCUUUCAGUGGGGAAGAUAAUGACGGUACCCACAGAAGAAGUCCCGGCAAACUCCGUGCCAGCAGCCGCGGUAAUACGGAGGGGGCAAGCGUUGUUCGGAAUUAUUGGGCGUAAAGGGCAUGUAGGUGGUUUGGUAAGUUAAAGGUGAAAUGCCAGGGCUUAACCCUGGAGCUGCUUUUAAUACUGCCAGACUGGAGUCCGGGAGAGGAU